AAUCUUCCGCAAUGGACGAAAGUCUGACGGAGCAACGCCGCGUGAGUGAUGAAGGUCUUCGGAUCGUAAAACUCUGUUGUUAGGGAAGAACAAGUAUCGUUCGAAUAGGGCGGUACCUUGACGGUACCUAACCAGAAAGCCACGGCUAACUACGUGCCAGCAGCCGCGGUAAUACGUAGGUGGCAAUCGUUAUCCGGAGUUAUUGGGCGUAAAGCGCGCGCAGGCGGUUUCUUAAGACCGAUGUGAGAGCCCCCGGGUCAACCGUGGAGGGUCAUUGGAGACUGGGAAGCUUGAGUGCAGAAGAGGAGAGUGGAAUACCAUGCGUAGCGGUGAGAUGCGUAGAGAUAUGGAGGAACACCAGUGGCGAAGGGGACUCUCUGGUCUGCAACUGACGCUGAGGCGCGAAAGCGUGGGGAGCGAACA
rnacentral:rRNA from 1 species